ACCUGGGUAGCUCAGUGGUUGAGCACCUGCCUUUGGCUCAGGUCAUGGUCCCGCGUCCUGGGAUCGAGUCCCACAUCAGGUU
rnacentral:tRNA from 1 species